GGUGAAAAGCACCCCGGAAGGGGAGUGAAAUAGAACCUGAAACCGUGUGCUUACAAGUAGUCAGAGCCCGUUAAUGGGUGAUGGCGUGCCUUUUGUAGAAUGAACCGGCGAGUUACGAUUUGAUGCAAGGUUAAGCAGUAAAUGUGGAGCCGUAGCGAAAGCGAGUCUGAAUAGGGCGUUUAGUAUUUGGUCGUAGACCCGAAACCAGGUGAUCUACCCUUGGUCAGGUUGAAGUUCAGGUAACACUGAAUGGAGGACCGAACCGACUUACGUUGAAAAGUGAGCGGAUGAACUGAGGGUAGCGGAGAAAUUCCAAUCGAACCUGGAGAUAGCUGGUUCUCUCCGAAAUAGCUUUAGGGCUAGCCUCAAGUGAUGAUUAUUGGAGGUAGAGCACUGUUUGGACGAGGGGCCCCUCUCGGGUUACCGAAUUCAGACAAACUCCGAAUGCCAAUUAAUUUAACUUGGGAGUCAGAACAUGGGUG
rnacentral:rRNA from 1 species